rnacentral:rRNA from 1 species
CUUCGGGUGAAGGUGGCGGACGGGUGAGUAACGCGUAAAGAACUUGCCUUACAGACUGGGACAACACUUGGAAACGAAUGCUAAUACCGGAUAUUAUGAUUGGGUCGCAUGAUCUGAUUAUGAAAGCUAUAUGCGCUGUGAGAGAGCUUUGCGUCCCAUUAGUUAGUUGGUGAGGUAACGGCUCACCAAGACGACGAUGGGUAGCCGGCCUGAGAGGGUGAACGGCCACAAGGGGACUGAGACACGGCCCUUACUCCUACGGGAGGCAGCAGUGGGGAAUAUUGGACAAUGGACCAAAAGUCUGAUCCAGCAAUUCUGUGUGCACGAAGAAGUUUUUCGGAAUGUAAAGUGCUUUCAGUUGGGAAGAAGUCAGUGACGGUACCAACAGAAGAAGCGACGGCUAAAUACGUGCCAGCAGCCGCGGUAAUACGUAUGUCGCAAGCGUUAUCCGGAUUUAUUGGGCGUAAAGCGCGUCUAGGCGGCUUAGUAAGUCUGAUGUGAAAAUGCGGGGCUCAACCCCGUAUUGCGUUGGAAACUGCUAAACUAGAGUACUGGAGAGGUAGGCGGAACUACAAGUGUAGAGGUGAAAUUCGUAGAUAUUUGUAGGAAUGCCGAUGGGGAAGCCAGCUACUGGACAGAUACUG